rnacentral:rRNA from 1 species
CCUACGGGGGACAGCAGUGGGGAAUAUUGCGCAAUGGGCGAAAGUCUGACGCAGCGACGCCACGUGAGGGAUGAAGGUCUUCGGAUCUGAAACCUCUGUCUGCAGGGAAGAACGGUCACUGUGCUAAUCAGCAGUGAAUUGACGGUACCUGCAAAGUAAGAACCGGCUAACUCCGUGCCAGCAGCCGCGGUAAUACGGAGGGUGCGAGCGUUAAUCGGAAUUACUGGGCGGAAAGCGCUCGUAGGCGGUAUGUCAAGUCAAGGGUGAAAUCCCCGCGCUCAACGUGGGAACUGCCUUUGAAACUGGCAAACUGGAGUGUGUGAGAGGAUGGUGGAAUUCGAGGUGUAGGAGUGAAAUGCGUAGAUAUCUGGAGGAACAUCAGUGGCGAAGGCGACUAUCUGGCACAUAACUGACGCUGAGGAGCGAAAGCGUGGGUAGCAAACAGGAUUAGAUACCCCUGUAGUC